rnacentral:rRNA from 1 species
AAUCAUGGCUCAGAUUGAACGCUGGCGGCAGGCCUAACACAUGCAAGUCGAACGGUAACAGGAAGCAGCUUGCUGCUUCGCUGACGAGUGGCGGACGGGUGAGUAAUGUCUGGGAAACUGCCUGAUGGAGGGGGAUAACUACUGGAAACGGUAGCUAAUACCGCAUAAUGUCGCAAGACCAAAGAGGGGGACCUCGGCUCUGC